rnacentral:rRNA from 1 species
UACGAAGGGGGCUAGCGUUGUUCGGAUUUACUGGGCGUAAAGCGCACGUAGGCGGAUCGUUAAGUCGGGGGUGAAAUCCUGGAGCUCAACUCCAGAACUGCCUUCGAUACUGGCGAUCUUGAGUCCGGAAGAGGUGAGUGGAACUCCUAGUGUAGAGGUGGAAUUCGUAGAUAUUAGGAAGAACACCAGUGGCGAAGGCGGCUCACUGGUCCGGUACUGACGCUGAGGUGCGAAGGCGUGGGGAGCAAACAGG